rnacentral:lncRNA from 1 species
CAGAACCAGCUUACUAAUAAUGAGAACAAUGUCUUACAACAGACCAGUUCAUUCACAAACCAUCCUUUAGCCAAAGCUUUGAGAAAAAGUCUCCCUAAGAAAAAGAAUGACAAAUGUUAUGGCACUGUCUAAAAGCACUUAAAGAAUCCAGAGGAAGAAUGUUCCAAAAAUCCGCGGCAAGACUAAAUAUUUGGGGUGUGAUGUGUGACAAUCAAGAGCCUUAAAAGAAGUUUUCAGUCUUCAGUACACACUUGAUAUGAGGCAACCAAAAAAAAUACUUGAUCUACCAACAACAUAUGGCUAAAAAGUUCAUUUGUGAGUUUUUUC